GACGAACUGUGCAAACGUUAUUCGGAAUCACUGGGCUUGAAGAGUGCGUAGGCGGUUUUGUAAGUAGGGUGUGAAAGCCCCCGGCUCAACCGGGGAAUUGCGCCCUAAACUGCAAGGCUGGAGUGAGGUAGGGGUGUGUGGAACUUCUAGUGGAGCGGUGAAAUGUGUUGAUAUUAGAAGGAACGCCGGUGGCGAAAGCGACACACUGGACCUUGUCUGACGCUGAGGCACGAAAGCCAGGGGAGCAAACGAG
rnacentral:rRNA from 1 species